GACUGAUAUAACUGACAGCCUCUGUUUAGGUUCAGACGGCCAUAUUCACAUAUGAAAAAAUAUUCGCUAUUAAAUCCGCAUCUUCGUUCCCGCGAUAACACCGUGAAUCCUCUCCGCCUUUAAGAAACACCGGUUGGACAGGUGUGCGGCCGGCUGAUUAAGAAAUCAGUCACAAACUUGAAGAAGUCAGAAGUGAGGAUUUGUCAGAGUUACACUCACCCCUUCAUUGUGUUUGCGUUCCGCUGCGGUUAGUUUUCAGACAGAUGUUUGGUUUCUCUCGCUGCCCCCGGGGUGCAGUCGAGCUCUGACCCGUCACCCCACUGGAGCCCGGCUGGAGUAGCGCGCCGGGCCCAGCGCCUCAGCACCCGAAUAAGAAACUCCACAAAGGAAAUAAAAAGCCGUGAGCCGUGACCGAAACCCCCACAUUCUCCCGGGUGAUUGUUUUUUCUCCUGAGUUUGAUCAUCCGUGUUUACGCCAGUCAUUUUAAAUGAAUCACGAUCACAGCGUGGCAGGCACUCAGGACUUCCGCAUCUUCCGCAGAUAUGUGACCCUCCCCCAUCUGAAGCGUUUUUAUGACAGGAAUCAGGCUGCAGCACAAGGAGGCGUGACAAGAUCUGAUUUUAAUAAAUAAAAUAAAAAAUACUGAGAAAAAAAUCAUAGUAAAGCGGAGCGAAAAUGAACAGAAAAAGAUAUUGAUUUAUUGCCUUUAACUUUUGCUAAAGUUUGAAUCAUAAUCUUACGUCAGAACAACAGCUGCAUAAAUGUCCUGUUUCCCCUUCCAUAAGAAACAGGGUUACACUUGAAGGGUUACAUUUUUAUUUUAAACCAGGCAGAGCCUUUAUGUAAUGCUUUUUAAUGCAAAAAAGAGAUUUAAAAAAAAUCUAUGAUUCCAAAAAAACAAACAAGUGAACGUCCAUGCAGAGAUUUUUAGUCUGUUCGCAUUAAUGUACUAUGUGAUUCAUACCUCAGCUUAAAGCUAAAAGGUUAGGAAGCAUUUAUAUAUAUAUUUUUAUUUUCCUCGAGCUGCUGCAGAGAAACCACAGAGACCCUAAACUGAGAGGAAGGAGGAGGGUUUAACUGCUGCAGUGAAACAGAAAUAUCUCACACCUCAGAGCUGCACGAUGGGACAAACACCUCUGCUGUGGCUUCUCUCCCUGAUGUCGCUGCUCUGCUGCACUACAAACCAAGCUCGUCUGACUGUGAGUCCCAGCAGCUCUCAGUUCUUUAAAGGAGACUCUGUG